CCGGUGCUAGUUUGAAAUGCGUAGACCAUUGGACUGGCAGUGGUUACUACAAGGGUCGGGUGAGAUGAUUUGGCGGGUUCUGCAGUUCCGUGCCUGACCACUUACAUCAGGAAAACAUCUGCUGAUUCCUCCACAAGACAAGGCAGGCCUAUUCUGUGACAAAGAGGAGCAAGGAGCAAGGGAGUAGGAGAGAGGAGUACACACGCCCCACCUCAGGGUCCACACAGGC